rnacentral:rRNA from 1 species
UACGUAGGGGGCAAGCGUUGUCCGGAAUCAUUGGGCGUAAAGAGCGUGUAGGCGGCUUGGUAAGUCCGCUGUGAAAGUCCAGGGCUCAACCCUGGAAAGCCGGUGGAAACUGUCAAGCUUGAGUCCGGAAGAGGCGAGUGGAAUUCCUGGUGUAGCGGUGAAAUGCGUAGAGAUCAGGAAGAACACCCGUGGCGAAGGCGGCCCACUGGGCCGGUACUGACGCUGAGGCACGAAGGCGUGGGGAGCGAACGGG